rnacentral:pre_miRNA from 1 species
AUAAUUCAAAUUUGUAUAGAGUUAGAUCGUUUGCGUACGUUUGUCGCUAGGGGCGCUGUUCCAACUGCAUACAAAAUCGAGUUU